UGCGGUCCAUGGAGACACAUCCAGGACCACUCCUGUCUGAGGGCCGGCU
rnacentral:rRNA from 1 species